rnacentral:tRNA from 1 species
GGGGUUGUGGCUCAGUGGUAGAGCACUUGACUACCACAUGUGAGGCCCUGAGUUCAAUCCUCAGCACCA